rnacentral:rRNA from 1 species
AUGACGGGCCCAGCCCGGCCCGGCCCGUGGGCAAGGCCAGGUAGGGUCGGGCCGUCCUGGCCGGGCUGUCCAUGGCCAGCUAUAAGCCAGAGCAUGGGCUGGGCAUUCGAACAAACAGGUGGUGUGCAACCAGAAGCUGACCACCAAACCAGAAGAGAGGAGAGGAGAAGAGAAGAAGACUUACAGAGGAGGGAAGCAGAGAGGAGUUUAAUUAGCAGCUUCACGGAGCAGAGAGGUCUUGUAUCAGACAGUCACUCGUCCAUGAGAAAGGCAAGCACUGUUGGGCAGGUAGCUCCUGCCAUGUCGAUGCCAUGCCAUGCCAUGGAAAUUGCAGUGGCACUGUUGGGCAAUUCCUUGCUCUGCGCAAGAAAAUCACCAUCAGUCACAUCAUAUUUUAUACAGCUUCUUGAUUAG